rnacentral:rRNA from 1 species
UACGUAGGUGGCGAGCGUUGUCCGGAAUUACUGGGUGUAAAGCGCGUGUAGGCGGCAGGCCAAGUCGGUGGUGAAAGCGCCCGGCUCAACUGGGCGAGGUCCAUGGAAACUGGUCAGCUGGAGGACGGUAGAGGCGAGUGGAAUUCCCGGUGUAGUGGUGAAAUGCGUAGAGAUCGGGAGGAACACCUGUGGCGAAGGCGGCUCGCUGGGCCGGUCCUGACGCUGAACGCGAAGGCGUGGGAGCGAACGGG